GUAGUCUGCAACCCGACUACAUGAAGCUGGAAUCGCUAGUAAUCGCGGAUCAGAAUGCCGCGGUGAAUACGUUCCCGGGUCUUGUACACACCGCCCGUCACACCAUGGGAGUCGGAAAUGCCCGAAGUCUGUGACCCAACCUGAGAGGGAGGGAGCAGCCGAAGGCAGGUCUGAUGACUGGGGUGAAGUCGUAACAAGGUACC
rnacentral:rRNA from 1 species